rnacentral:rRNA from 1 species
UGGGGAAUAUUGCACAAUGGGGGAAACCCUGAUGCAGCGACGCCGCGUGAGUGAGGAAGUAUUUCGGUAUGUAAAGCUCUAUCAGCAGGGAAGAAAAUGACGGUACCUGACUAAGAAGCCCCGGCUAACUACGUGCCAGCAGCCGCGGUAAUACGUAGGGGGCAAGCGUUAUCCGGAUUUACUGGGUGUAAAGGGAGCGUAGACGGAGGAGCAAGUCUGAUGUGAAAAUCCGGGGCCCAACCCCGGAACUGCAUUGGAAACUGUUUAUCUAGAGUGUCGGAGAGGCAAGUGGAAUUCCUAGUGUAGCGGUGAAAUGCGUAGAUAUUAGGAGGAACACCAGUGGCGAAGGCGGCUUGCUGGACGAUGACUGACGUUGAGGCUCGAAAGCGUGGGGAGCAAACA